AGACUUUUGAGCUUUGGCCCACAUAUAAUAUUACGAAAUAAUUCCAUAUGAAACUAGACUAGAAUCAUCGGACCUCCGAUUUCUAGGUCUUUGUCUUUCCCAACCAACGGAAUUAGUGUCCUAUCUACUUCUCUUUCCCUCCAAUUACUCAAGCUGGUGAUAGAGUACAUUACUUCCUUGAGACCCCAAGAAGAAAGAGCUUUUGCAGAUGUUAUCGACAGAGAGAGGGUGCUGGUUCGCAUUGCCACUGCUUCUGCGAGCUUAGGGUCCUCUCUCGGUUUCCUUUAGACUUUAGUUAUCACUGAUUUCUAUUCACACACCUCUUAAAGUAACACCGUCUUGGCGUCUGGUCACUCGUGAUUGUCAAUGAUACUGGAAAAAUAAGUGAUCUAAGGGAUUGAGGUUGAUUAUUAUAUACAGUAUCAUGGGCGCUGUUUGUUGCUGUUUGCAAGAUGAGUUCGACAAUUUUGCUAGCCCAAACAGCUCGAUAUAUAGAAACUGUAUAUGCCUGCGGUGUUUCGUUCAGAACUUCUUGCACGUGUAUUCAUCGUUUUUUCGUAGAGGAGAGCAACAUGCCAUCCCGUCAUCAACUCAAGGGACAACGUCGUUGAGUUCUACUGCAUCUCUCGAUACCUCUCUAUCUGACAUAUACCGUUCUCCUCCAAGGCCACUACCUUAUGAUGCUGACCCUAGAUAUUUCCGGUUACAGAGAGACGGAUUAGUCUCGAGAAGGGAAAAAGGAUCGAGUCACUCACACGAGGAGACUGAACCUUUACGGAGAAGUGAUACUGAUGACGAUUCAGAAUCUUUGAGUACAGGAAACAAAUGGGACAAGUCUUGUGAAGAAGAAUCGAAAGAGUACAAUUCUAAAUCUUCAUUGAAGCUGUCAGCAGCUAAAACUACUUCUGGGUUUCCUCAUAUUUAUUCUUCUUCGGAAGAUGAAGACGUUUGCCCAACGUGUCUUGAAGAAUAUACCGAAGAAAACCCAAAAAUAAUGACAAAAUGCUCUCAUCAUUUCCACCUUGGCUGCAUAUACGAGUGGAUGGAGAGAAGUGAUAACUGCCCAGUUUGUGGCAAGCUGAUGGCAUUCGAUGAGACGACUUGAUCUUUUUGCUCAAAAGCAUUCGGUCGUGGACGAAGGCAGCAAGGACAAUAACUAGGAACAAAAAACGACGGGAAGUCGCUGUGAAUAUCAAAACAGGAAAAUGGCGGCUUGUGGGCAAGCACAGUACAUACAUAAAAAUAAUUGUUCAGUGUAACUCUAUUUGAGCACAUUUUCUUCGAUCAUUGUGUUUUUUCCUUGUAAUUUUUAAUGGAUUGCAUUCCUCUUUCUUGUCAUUUUAAGUGUGUUCUGAGUUUGGGGUGUGGGGUAGAGUAAAGAUUUUGCCCCUUUGUGCACCCAGCUUUAUCUUACUUUGACAGAGACAUUAAAAUUAGCACUUUUCAGAUAUUGGAAAGUAGCCCAUAUUUGAGAUGAACUAGUUUAUGUGUUGGUAUGUAUUACUUUUA